rnacentral:lncRNA from 1 species
UUAAAAUUAUUUACUUUUAUAUUUUUUAUAGUUUUAAAACCGACUACUCGUGGUUGGUGGUUGCUUUUUUAAAAAUAUUUUUUUAAAAUUAAAAAUUGACCACUUGUGGUCGGUUUUUUAAAAAAUAUAUUAAUGUUUUAAAAAAAAAAUCGACCACAAGUGGUUGGUUUUAUUAUUUUUUUAAUUUUUAUUUGUAAAAUAAAUAAUAAUUAAUAUAAAAAUUAUUGAAAUAAUUAUUUUGAUUUUUUAAAAUAUAAAAGCGACCACAUGUGGUCGUUUUUUUUUUUUAAAUAAAAUUAAAAAAUUAAAAAACCGAUCACUUGUGGUCGAUUUUUUCCGAUCACUGUGCGUGAUCGAUUUUUUGUGGUCGUUUUUUUAGUUUUUUUUAGUAGUGUUUUGCAUUCUCUGAACUUGUAUCUUCACUUGUAACAUCAAUCUUCAGAAAUCUGAAAGAACAAAAUUUUGGAAAGAAAAUAACUAUUAGUAUAUAAUUUAAUUUAAGUAUUAGGAAAAUAAUAUGACUAACUGUGUGCCCUCCUCCAUUCCUCUGUUGUGACGCCAAAGUUGCAGAACUCUAGAUUUUGACAAAUUAUUUGGACCACUAACUAUGCGUCAACCACUUUUCGAGAACAGACCAUAAGACCGUUAAAGUUGUUCACUUCUUUGAUUGCAUAAAAGCAGACAAUGAAACAUAUGAGAACAUGAAAACUAUUCUAGAAUUCCCCACGACUCUGAUAAAGUCGCUACUGCAAUAACAAUAACAACAUUCUGAGUGAAAUCUCACAAGUUGCUAUGUGUAACUUAGAUAACUCCCUGUAAAGAAACUGGCAGAAAAGCUGCAACAUAAUUGAAAAUCAAAACUAUGUGCAUGGAUUAUUUUGGCAGCUAAACACAUAAUAAUAUAGUUUGGCAUCAUUUAGAAAAUUUUGUUUGCUUAACAAAAGCAAUCUGUUAUUAUUUAUAUAAUCGAGUGACAAGUGUUGCAAUGAUCCCUAUGCAAGUUACUUUUUCUAUUAACUAUAACAGCUGCCUCUUCAACUACAGUACCUUAAGAAUAAUAUAGUUUAGUAUGCACCAAAAGAUUGAGAAACAAGAUGAAAUUACUUGUGUGCACCAGAAGAUCCUGAUCUACUUUAAUUUGAUACAAAAAUACAGAUAUAACAGAUAACAUCUUUCUGAUUUUACAUUUUCAGAUUGUCAGUAUAAAAUCAUCUUCUGAUUUCGAGUUCUAAGUUUACCAUAUGAACUGCCGAUAUCUAAAAUUUAACCCAACAAAUAAUAUGAACUGCCGAUACCUAAAAUUCAACCCAACAAAAGCAACAACUACGGAGAGUAGAUAAUCAAACAAACUAGUGACUCGUAUCUCAGCAGAAUGUUUUAAGUCGGCCCCGUACCUACCCAUUCCGCACCUGCCCCAACCCAUUUCCAUUCAUAAUAGUAUGUACACAACAAUUAUGACCUUACCCUUACUUUGUGAAGGUAGAGAGACGAUAAGUGAUCAUCAAUUGAUAUAUUUCAUAGUAAAUUACCCAUUAGUUGUACAAAUUAGAAAAAAAUGACAAAUUCUGAAUAGAGAAUGAAGAAUACGAGUAGCUCAACAACCAAGCAACAAAGAAUUUAGAACAAUUUUAGAAGAAAAAUAGCAACAAAAUAAAAUAGAAAGCCUACCUUUGAGAGAGAUGAACAUAGAAUACAACAAAUUGCAAUCACCCAAGGAAUUUGGCAAAAAGCUGCCGUGUGCGUAUGUGUAUUGAUCAAUAUUGCUAGAUCCCUCAAUCGCUGCUAUGUGCGUAUGUGUGUAUUGAUCGAUAUUGCUAGGGUAUUUCGACCAACAGUGUAUUCUGAUUGAGGAAAACUGCACGCAGCCUUUUAA